CACUCUCUUUCAUCACUUCUCGAGAUGCUCCGAAGAAGAAUCGUUUGUUAUCUCGAUCUCUUUCAUCUCAUUUAUGUUCUACUGAAAUCCAACUAGUUGGAAGGAUCGAUCUGAGAGUUUCAGUCAUCUGAGAUAUUUGGAAGCAUCAAUUUUUCUUUUGUUCGAAUUUUUGAAGAUGGUUUCAAGUAGGCUUGUUCAUUUCUUAAAUCUACUGGGAAUACUCAUACCAGAGAGUAGCCGAAGCAAGAAAAAAUUUCAGUCAUUGCAUUCUGCUAUCAAGGAAACUCAAAUUCCGUCUAAAUCUUUCUCUAAUCCCAGCAAACGAGAUGCAGGAGGUGUUGCGCGUGACGAGAGUCGUAAACCAUAUUUUUUAGAUGAUCAGAACAGGAAAACUAGGGAUGACCAUGAUGAAGUGACUGCUAAGAAGUAAGAGCUUGGGGCUUUAGAUAAACAAGUAAAGGACUUAACUCAGUCACUCAUUUCCUCCUGUAAGAUCACAAUGCAACCGAGCUCCAAUGAUGUAGUUGAAUUGGUGAAUGAUUAUUUAAAGAGAAAAACAGCUAGCAGAUUUGUUUGCCAGGACUUACAGUGGUUGGUUUUGAGAGAAAGACUUCUCAGUAUGACCUUCUGCUCAACUACCGUGAUUUCCUCCAUCAAAGGUUUAGCAUAGAUGUUGGUCCAUCAUCAAGUACAGUAGCAACAAUCAUAUUGAUUGACGUGAAUAUGACCCUUAGUGUGAAUUAUUAAUGCGAUGCUUCAUCUUUUUGUAUAGUUUCAGGAAUAUAAACGCUUGUGUUGCCUUUACGUUUGUAUCCAACGCUUGUGUUGCCUUUACGAAUAUAAGCGCUUGUGUUAUUUUUUUUAGAGACCUUCCA